CCAAUAGCGUAUAUUAAAGUUGUUGCAGUUAAAAAGCUCGUAGUUGAAUUUCGGAAUCUGUCCGUCGGUCGGGCUUUAUUGUCCGUACUGAUGUGAUGGGUUCUUACCUUCUGAAUAACCAGCAUGGCAUUAAUUUGGUGUGUUGGGGAAGCAGGACUAUUACCUUGAAAAAAUUAGAGUGCUCAAAGCAGGCUAGUGCCUGAAUACAUUAGCAUGGAAUAAUAAAAUAGGACGGCAUGGUUCUAUUUUGUUGGUUUCUAGGAUCACCGUAAUGAUUAAUAGGGAUAGUUGGGGGCAUUAGUAUUCAAUUGUCAGAGGUGAAAUUCUUGUACUUAUUGAAGACUAACUUCUGCGAAAGCAUUUGCCAAGGAUGUUUUCAUUAAUCAAGAACGAAAGUUAGGGGAUCGAAGACGAUCAGAUACCGUCGUAGUCUUAACCAUAAACUAUGCCGACUAGGGAUCGGACGAUGUUAAUUUUUUAAUGACUCGUUCGGCGCCUUACG
rnacentral:rRNA from 1 species